rnacentral:rRNA from 1 species
UGGGGAUGACGUCAAGUCAUCAUGGCCCUUACGGCCUGGGCUACACACGUGCUACAAUGGUCGGUACAAAGGGUUGCCAAGCCGCGAGGUGGAGCUAAUCCCAAUAAACCGAUCGUAGUCCGGAUCGCAGUCUGCAACUCGACUGCGUGAAGUCGGAAUCGCUAGUAAUCGUGAAUCAGAAUGUCACGGUGAAUACGUUCCCGGGCCUU